UACCGAGUGCGGGCCCUCGGGGNCAACCUCCCACCCGUGUUGCCCGAACCUAUGUUGCCUCGGGGGCCCGCGCCCGCCGACGGCCCCCCUGAACGCUGUCUGAAGUUGCAGUCUGAGACCUAUAACGAAAUUAGUUAAAACUUUCAACAACGGAUCUCUUGGUUCCGGCAUCGAUGAAGAACGCAGCGAAAUGCGAUAACUAAUGUGAAUUGCAGAAUUCAGUGAAUCAUCGAGUCUUUGAACGCACAUUGCGCCCUCUGGUAUUCCGGAGGGCAUGCCUGUCCGAGCGUCAUUGCUGCCCUCAAGCCCGGCUUGUGUGUUGGGCCCCGUCCCCCCCGCCGGGGGGACGGGCCCGAAAGGCAGCGGCGGCACCGCGUCCGGUCCUCGAGCGUAUGGGGCUUCGUCACCCGCUCUAGUAGGCCCGGCCGGCGCCAGCCGACCCCCAACCUUUAAUUAUCUCAGGGUGACCUCGGAUCAGGUAGGGAUACCCGCUGAACUUAAUCAUAUCAAUAAGCGGAGGAAAAGAAACCAACCGGGAUUGCCCUAGUAACGGUGAGUGAAGCGGCAAGAGCUCAAAUUUGAAAGCUGGNCCCCUCGGGGUCCGCAUUGUAAUUUGCAGAGGAUGCUUCGGGAACGGNCCCCAUCUAAGUGCCCUGGAACGGGNCGUCAUAGAGGGUGAGAAUCCCGUCUGGGAUGGGGUGGCCGCGCCCGUGUGAAGCUCCUUCGACGAGUCGAGUUGUUUGGGAAUGCAGCUCUAAUU
rnacentral:rRNA from 1 species